rnacentral:rRNA from 1 species
AACGAACGCUGGCGGCAGGCCUAACACAUGCAAGUCGAGCGAAGCCUUCGGGAUUAGCGGCGGACGGGUGAGUAACGCGUGGGAACGUGCCCUUUGCUACGGAAUAGCCCCGGGAAACUGGGAGUAAUACCGUAUGUGCCCGAGAGGGGAAAGAUUUAUCGGCAAAGGAUCGGCCCGCGUUGGAUUAGGUAGUUGGUGGGGUAAUGGCCUACCAAGCCGACGAUCCAUAGCUGGUUUGAGAGGAUGAUCAGCCACACUGGGACUGAGACACGGCCCAGACUCCUACGGGAGGCAGCAGUGGGGAAUCUUAGACAAUGGGGGAAACCCUGAUCUAGCCAUGCCGCGUAAGCGAUGAAGGCCUUAGGGUUGUAAAGCUCUUUCAGUGGGGAAGAUAAUGACGGUACCCACAGAAGAAGCCCCGGCUAACUCCGUGCCAGCCGCCGCCGUAAGAC